rnacentral:lncRNA from 1 species
GGGUUGUGUUGUUUCUGAAGAGGAGACGAUUGGGGAAGAUGGAUGACACGACAAUUUUUUGAUGACGUAAGCGACUCAAAGGAUGAGAACUUUUCAUCCCUUAAAUCAAAAAUAACAAACAAACGUGACCGCUAGAUUAAAUUUUUAUUUUCCUAUAAAAAUGAUGAUGUCAUUGAUCACAAAAAAAUGGUUUACUGUUAUAUAUAGAUAUAAUACAUUUAGACCAAAAAUCAUUUCUAUUUUAAAAUUUUU